rnacentral:rRNA from 1 species
AACUUUCAGCAAUGGAUCUCUUGGUUCUCGCAUCGAUGAAGAGCGUAGCAAAUUGCGAUAAUUAAUGCGAAUUGCAUUUCGUGAGUCAUCGAGUUCUCGAACGCACCUUGCACCUUUGGGUAAUCCGAAGGUACGUCUGUUUCAGA